AAUGUUUGAUGUUCUAACGUGGGCCCCUUACCGGGGUUGCGGACAGUGUCUGGUGGGUAGUUUGACUGGGGCGGUCUCCUCCUAAAGAGUAACGGAGGAGCACGAAGGUUGGCUAAUCCUGGUCGGACAUCAGGAGGUUAGUGCAAUGGCAUAAGCCAGCUUGACUGCGAGCGUGACGGCGCGAGCAGGUGCGAAAGCAGGUCAUAGUGAUCCGGUGGUUCUGAAUGGAAGGGCCAUCGCUCAACGGAUAAAAGGUACUCCGGGGAUAACAGGCUGAUACCGCCCAAGAGUUCAUAUCGACGGCGGUGUUUGGCACCUCGAUGUCGGCUCAUCACAUCCUGGGGCUGAAGUAGGUCCCAAGGGUAUGGCUGUUCGCCAUUUAAAGUGGUACGCGAGCUGGGUUUAGAACGUCGUGAGACAGUUCGGUCCCUAUCUGCCGUGGGCGCUGGAGAACUGAGGGGGGCUGCUCCUAGUACGAGAGGACCGGAGUGGACGCAUCACUGGUGUUCGGGUUGUCAUGCCAAUGGCACUGCCCGGUAGCUAAAUGCGGAAGAGAUAAGUGCUGAAAGCAUCUAAGCACGAAACUUGCCCCGAGAUGAGUUCUCCCUGACUCCUUGAGAGUCCUGAAGGAACGUUGAAGACGACGACGUUGAUAGGCCGGGUGUGUAAGCGCAGCGAUGCGUUGAGCUAACCGGUACUAAUGAACCGUGAGGCUUAACCUUACAACGCCGAAG
rnacentral:rRNA from 1 species